CCAGAUUGGAAAGGAUGUCAAGAAGUCUCUAAUAUAAUUUUGCUUCAAAGGAAGGAUACCUCUGGAAUCUCUGCCUGAGGUUUUCUCAUCGUCCACGGGGCCAAGGGGAAAACCAUCUUUUUCCUCACCUCUCUGUACUCACUUCUGGUUGCUCCAGGUCUCCCUUGGCAGUAUUAAUGAUGCACACAUGGAUGAGCAAAAGUCUGAAGGCCACAGGAGACUCAUCAUCCUCUAUGCAACAUUCUGUAUCCAAGCUCCAUCAAAGAACUAAUCUCCUGUGGCAGCAGUUCUGGUUGGCAGGUAAAGCAGAUGCUUCCUUCAUUCCUAUAUUAGAAACAUGCCAAGGAAAAUCUAAUAGCUGCUUCUUAUGUUCCUCAAGAUAAUGACACCAAUAUAGUAAAACUCAAGAAACAUUGUUACUGUUAGUGGACCCAUGAAAAACAGAAUUGCCAUUGCUCAUGAAGCACAGCCCUUAUAUUGUCUGUGCCUAGAGUGACAGUGCAAGGCCCUAGCCCUGGCCAGCUUUUAUCACUUUACCCUGGGAACUGGCUGUGUGAGCUUGGUAAGAAGUUUCUCUUUUGAUCAUGUUCAGCUUAAUUGUGGGGUAACGGAAAAGGCUUUGUGUUGUGGUAUGUUUAUUCAAUUCUGUUAAAAUUGUUAGUAUUUCAUCUGUUUGGUAUGUUCCUGGUUCUCCCCCAUUUACUGCUUUGGUUGGUUCCAUUUGUCUGUUAUGUAAACCCCUCCCAGUUUUCCUGAAUGUUCCCCGUCAAUCACCUUUACCCUGCCCCAUCUCCCCAUCCAUCAUCGUAAACCCCACCUCUCCUUCCAGCUCCUUCCAUGUAUAUCAUCCCUUCCUUGAUAUGUUAUUGGUUGUUAUGUUAUGUUCCCGCCUUCCUUGUAUCCCCAUUGGUCCCUGACGUUGUAACCUCCUCCCCUUACCCCUCCCUCCGUGAGC
rnacentral:lncRNA from 1 species